rnacentral:lncRNA from 1 species
GAAUCUGCGCACGAGGAGCGGAGAGAGGAGUGUAGGAGUCAUACCUGGGGCGUGCCGGCCUUGGAGUCUGUUGCCGGGGUGAUUUUUGGAUUCGUCGGGGUGGCGAGACCCGACUAUCGGUCGGGGGCCUGCUGGGUUCGGCGGGUUCCCGACCCUUCCUCCGCUUCUCCUUCGGGCCUCUGGGCUCGGCCAAGCGUCGGUCGGAAGCUCCUUCAUCCGCGCGCAUGUACUUGUAUGCG